GACAGAGGUGCCGAGCGUUAGGCGGAAUCACUGGGCUUAAAGCGUGUGUAGGCGGACCGUUAAGUACCUUGUGAAAUCCCCCGGCUCAACCGGGGAACGGCUGGGUAUACUGGCGGUCUUGAGCCAUCCAGGGGCAGUCGGAACAGACGGUGGAGCGGUGAAAUGCGUAGAUAUCGUCUGGAACGCCGAAGGUGAAAACAGACUGCUGGGGAUGAGCUGACGCUGAGACACGAAAGCCAGGGGAGCGAACGGGAU
rnacentral:rRNA from 1 species